GCGAUAGCACAGGAAUGUCUCCUGCAUUGUUGUCAAAUGUAUUUAAAUACGAAACAUGUCUUGUUUUGUUAUUAUUUUAACUUACUUAUUUCCAUACAUUUGAAAUCUAAACAAAUUCAAUCAGGAUAAAAGCACUUAUUCAAACAGAUUACGUAGGUCUACAAUGUGGACAAUAAGAGAGAACGUGAAUAGAUUCACGUGUUGUUUUCUGAUGUUAGUAUAUCAUGUUUAUGGAUCAGUCAUACCAUUACCAAGUACAAAAGACAAUGAUAUUAUCGGCAUAAAUUCUCAAAUGACAUAUUCGAAAAUAUUGUCAGUCAUAUCUACUAAACAUUUAAACACUAGGAAUAUUAGAGUAAGAGGCAAACGACAACUGGAUUCAACUUCUGCUGAAACUCUUCAACAAUACUGGUUAUGGAAGAAUUCAAACGGAUCUGGAAGCACACAGCUGCGAUACGGACGAUCCAUUGACGACAAUGCGAAAACACAACAUGAACGUCAAAACGGGAAAAGAAUCCAAAGAUCGAAGCAAAGCAGUUUGUCACGGAAUAAAAGGGAUACACGUUGGAAUUAUCACAAACUAAUGAAACUUAUUCGAAAAUUUUAUAAACGGAAAGGACAUAGGAAAAAUGGAAAGUUCCAGUUCCGGUUUGGAUAAACUGUGUUCGAACCUUCACAGAAAAUGAAAACUGAAUCUCAAAAAAUAUUUACAAUAUUCAUAUGCUCUAAAUGAUUGUAAAUUGCAGACUUUUCAACAGCUAUGAAUACAGGGUAGAAUCUCAAAUACUUGUAAAUAUGAUGUUAUUUAUUCAAAUUGUACAUGCAAGCAAUAUACACUUUUGUUGAAACUUGAAAAUGUUGAAUUAAAUUACGGAAAAUCUUGUAUAA